GCCGGGGUGGCGGAGCCAGGGCAAACGCGCCAGACUCGAGAUCUGGUUGUGCACUGCACAACUAGGGUUCAAAUCCCUACCCCGGCGCCA
rnacentral:tRNA from 1 species